AAUCAACGCUGGCGGCGUGCCUAACACAUGCAAGUCGAGCGAGAAAAGGGGGGCAACUCCCUGAGUACAGCGGCGCACGGGUGAGUAACACGUGGGUAAUCUGCCCUGGAGUGGGGAAUAACACCGGGAAACCGGUGCUAAUACCGCAUACGAUAACGAGGUCUGCGGAUCUUGUUAUGAAAGGAGCAAUUCGCUCCAGGAGGAGCCCGCGGCUGAUUAGCUAGUUGGUGAGGUAAUGGCUCACCAAGGCUACGAUCAGUAUCCGGUCUGUGAGGACGGUCGGACACACUGGAACUGAGACACGGUCCAGACUCCUACGGGAGGCAGCAGUGGGGAAUUUUUGGCAAUGGGGGAAACCCUGACCAAGCAACGCCGCGUGGGUGAUGAAGUCUCUUGGGACGUAAAACCCUUUCGACGGGGAAGAAACCGCAAGGUUGACGGUACCCGUAGAAGAAGCCCCGGCUAACUCCGUGCCAGCCGCCGCGGUAAUAC
rnacentral:rRNA from 1 species